AUCGCCAGGCAUUUCAGUGUAAAAUAACUACGUUUUGUUGAUAAAAGUGCUUAAAAUGUGUCCGGUUCUCCCUCCCCCUGUAACCCGUGAGCGCGAUGGAGGAGCAGGCAUGGCUGGUCCGGGCCAGGUCCGACUCUGAAAGCUCCCGGGCUGGCAGCUUCGGGACAAUGGCUUAUACCGACGACAAGCUUACUGAAGGCGCUGGGGAGCCGGGCAGCGCAGUGGGAACGGGUAGCCUGAACAGUGCACCCCAGGACCAUGCCGACACAGAGAGCGGCGAACUCCUCGAUUACAAUGAUGCCAGCGUCCUUGAAAAGUUUCAUGAAGAUGCUUUGG